GACGAACGCUGGCGGCGUGCCUAAUACAUGCAAGUUGAGCGGAGACUGUGGAGCUUGCUCCACAUUCUUAGCGGCGGACGGGUGAGUAACACGUGGGCAACCUGCCCUGUAGAUCGGGAUAACUCCGGGAAACCGGUGCUAAUACCGAAUAGUUUUUUGCCCCUCCUGGGGCGAAACGGAAAGACGGUUUCGGCUGUCACUGCAGGAUGGGCCCGCGGCGCAUUAGCGAGUUGGCGGGGUAAUGGCCCACCAAGGCGACGAUGCGUAGCCGACCUUAGAGGGUGAUCGGCCACACUGGGACUGGGACACGGCCCAGACUCCUACGGGAGGCAGCAGUAGGGAAUCUUCCGCAAUGGACGCAAGUCUGACGGAGCAACGCCGCGUGAGUGACGAAGGUUUUCGGAUCGUAAAACUCUGUUGUGAGGGAAGAACAAGUACCAAGUAACUACUGGUACCUUGACGGUACCUCACCAGAAAGCCACGGCUAACUACGUGCCAGCCGCCGCGGUAA
rnacentral:rRNA from 1 species